CUUGAAUUCACAUAAUUCAUUAGGUGCUGAUCCAAAGACUAAAGCACUGAUUUGCAUAAUGGCUAAACCCAGGGGAAUAGCAAGCUGUGUUGUUAAGGAACUCUUUUGCUAGCCUACACAAAAGAAAGCAACAUGGAGAAAUUUUUUCAACCUCCACCAUGCCCUCAAUAAUCCAAAUAAUCUGGCAUUUUACCUGUUCAUGAGAAAUCACUGGCA
rnacentral:lncRNA from 12 species